CAGCCGCCGCGGUAAUACGUAGGGUGCAAGCGUUAAUCGGAAUUACUGGGCGUAAAGCGUGCGCAGGCGGUUUGUUAAGACAGAUGUGAAAUCCCGGGGCUCAACCUGGGAACUGCAUUUGUGACUGGCAAGCUAGAGUCUGGCAGAGGGGGGUGGAAUUCCGCGUGUAGCAGUGAAAUGCGUAGAGAUCGGGAGGAACAUCAGGGCGAAGGCGGCCAUCUGGGACAACACUGACGCUGAGGCACGAAAGCGUGGGGAGCAAACAGGAUUAGAUACCCGCGUAGUCCCUGUCUCUUAUACC
rnacentral:rRNA from 1 species